rnacentral:rRNA from 1 species
UUUUUAUGGAGAGUUUGAUCCUGGCUCAGGAUGAACGCUGGCGGCGUGCCUAAUACAUGCAAGUCGAGCGAACAGACGAGGAGCUUGCUCCUCUGACGUUAGCGGCGGACGGGUGAGUAACACGUGGAUAACCUACCUAUAAGACUGGGAUAACUUCGGGAAACCGGAGCUAAUACCGGAUAAUAUAUUGAACCGCAUGGUUCAAUAGUGAAAGACGGUUUUGCUGUCACUUAUAGAUGGAUCCGCGCCGCAUU